CAGCGCGAACGUUGGCGGCGUGCCUAACACAUGCAAGUCGUGGGGCAGCAGGCUACUGUCUUUUGGCAGUAGUGCUGGCGACCGGCAAACGGGUGAGUAACGCGUAGCUUACCUACCCAUAGGUUGGGGAUAACAUCCCGAAAGGGAUGCUAAUACCCAAUAAUGAGGAGACUCCAAAGCCCUUAUGGGCGCCUAUGGAUGGGGCUGCGUCCCAUCAGCUAGUUGGUGAGGUAAUGGCUCACCAAGGCUACGACGGGUAACCGGUCUGAGAGGAUGACCGGUCACAGCGGGACUGAGACACGGCCCGCACCCCUACGGGGGGCAGCAGUGGGGAAUAUUGGGCAAUGGCCGAAAGGCUGACCCAGCAACGCCGCGUGGUGGAUGAAGCCCUUCGGGGUGUAAACACCUUUUCUGGGGGAAGAUAAUGACGGUACCCCAGGAAUAAGGGACGGCUAACUACGUGCCAGCAGCCGCGGUAA
rnacentral:rRNA from 1 species